rnacentral:tRNA from 1 species
AGAGGUAUAGCUCAACAGUAGAGCAUCUUCCUCACAUGCACAAGUUCUUAAGUUCAAACCCUAAUACUGCCA